rnacentral:rRNA from 1 species
GUAGGGUGCAAGCGUUGCCCGGAUUUAUUGGGCGUAAAGGGCGCGUAGGCGGUCACGCACGUCCGUUGUGAAAUCGCUCGGCUCAACUGGGCGGGGUCAGCGGAUACGGUGUGGCUGGAGCAAGCUAGGGGGCAAUGGAAUUCCCGGUGUAGUGGUGGAAUGCGUAGAUAUCGGGAGGAACACCAGUGGCGAAGGCGGUUGCCUGGAGCUUUGCUGACGCUGAUGCGCGAAAGCGUGGGGAGCGAUCCGGAUUAGAUACCCGGGUAGUCCACGCCGUAAACGAUGCGGACUAGGUGUCGGGGGUAUCGACCCCCUCGGCGCCGCAGCUAACGCAUUAAGUCCGCCGCCUGGGGACUACGGCCGCAAGGCUA